rnacentral:rRNA from 1 species
AUUUUGGACAAUGGGCGCAAGCCUGAUCCAGCCAUGCCGCGUGCAGGAUGAAGGCCUUCGGGUUGUAAACUGCUUUUGUACGGAACGAAAAGGUGCCUUCUAAUAAAGGGCGCUCAUGACGGUACCGUAAGAAUAAGCACCGGCUAACUACGUGCCAGCAGCCGCGGUAAUACGUAGGGUGCGAGCGUUAAUCGGAAUUACUGGGCGUAAAGCGUGCGCAGGCGGUUGUGUAAGACAGAGGUGAAAUCCCCGGGCUCAACCUGGGAUCUGCCUAUGUGACAGGAAGGCUGGAGUGCGGCAGAGGGUGAUGGAAUUCCGCGUGGAGCAGUGAAAUGCGUAGAUAUGCGGAGGAACACCGAUGGCGAAGGCAAUCCCCUGGGCCUGCACUGACGCUCAUGCACGAAAGCGUGGGGAGCAAA